CAUGUCCUUUUGUUAAUAAUAUAAGGUUUAACCUGCUCAAUGAAAUAUAAAUAGCCGCAGUAUUUUGACUGUGCAAAGGUAGCAUAAUAAUUAGUUUCUUAAUUAGAAACUGGAAUGAAUGGUUGGACAAGAAAAUUUCUGUCUCUUUUUUAAUAUUUUUGAAUUUUAUUUUUAAGUGAAAAAGCUUAAAUUUUUAUAAAAGACGAGAAGACCCUAUAGAGUUUAAUAUUUGUUAAAAAUAAGCUAUUAGAAUAUUAAUUUUUUAUUAUAAGUAUUUGGUUGGGGUGACUGAGAGAAAAAUGAAAUUCUUUUAAUUUUAAAUUGAUAAUUUUCAAUUUUUAAAUCUAUAAUUUAUAAAAUUAAAAUAAAUUACCUUAGGGAUAACAGCGUAAUUUUUCUUUAAAGCUCUUAUUAAAAGGAAAGUUUGCGACCUCGAUGUUGGAUUAAAAUUAAUUUUUGGUGCAGUAACUUAAAAAUUAGGUCUGUUCGACCUUUAAAAUUUUACAUGAUCUGAGUUUAAACCGGUGUGAGCCAGGUUGGAUUCUAUCUUUAGAAAAGUUUUAUAUUUUAGUACGAAAGGACCAAAUAUAAAUUAAAUUAAUUGU
rnacentral:rRNA from 1 species